AAUAUUUGACAAUGGGGGCAAACCUGAUCCAGCCAUACCGCGUGUGUGAAGAAGGUCUUCGGAUGGUAAAGCACUGUAAGUUGGGGGGAAGGGCUUUAGGCUAGUACACUGGAGUUUUGACGUUAACAACAUAAGAAGCGCCUGAUAACUCUGUGCCAGCAGCCGCGGUAAUACAGAGGGUGCAAGCGUUAAUCGGAAUUACUGGGCGUAAAGGGUGCGUAGGUGGUUCAGUAAGAUAGGUGUGAAAUCCCCGGGCUUAACCUGGGCACUGCUUUCAUAACUGCUGUGCUAGAGUACGGUAGAGGGUAGUGGAAUUUCCUGUGUAGCGGUGAAAUGCGUAGAUAUAGGAAGGAACACCAGUGGCGAAGGCGACUACCUGGACUGAUACUGACACUGAGGUGCGAAAGCGUGGGGAGCAAACA
rnacentral:rRNA from 1 species